GUUUUUUGGGUUUUUUUCUUCUUCUUUU
rnacentral:sRNA from 1 species